AAACAGAGGUAGAUACGAAAUAAUUCAUCGUCAAAGCGGGAUUAAAGUUGUCAGGCAUUGAAGCAUCGGUUCCAAGUUUA
rnacentral:lncRNA from 1 species